GACGAACGCUGGCGGCGUGCCUAAUACAUGCAAGUCGAACGAGAGCGACCGGUGCUUGCACUGGUCAAUCUAGUGGCGAACGGGUGAGUAACACGUGGGUAACCUGCCCAUCAGAGGGGGAUAACAUCCGGAAACGGAUGCUAAAACCGCAUAGGUCUUCGAACCGCAUGGUUUGAAGAGGAAAAGAGGCGCAAGCUUCUGCUGCUGGAUGGACCCGCGGUGCAUUAGCUAUUUGGUGAGGUAACGGCUCACCAAGGCCGUGAUGCAUAGCCGACCUGAGAGAGUGAACGGCCACAUUGGAACUGAGACACGGCCCAAACUCCUACGGGAGGCAGCAGUAGGGAAUCUUCCGCAAUGGACGCAAGUCUGACGGAGCAACGCCGCGUGAGUGAAGAAGGUUUUCGGAUCGUAAAACUCUGUUGUUAGAGAAGAACAAGUGCUAGAGUAACUGUUAGCGCCUUGACGGUAUCUAACCAGAAAGCCACGGCUAACUACGUG
rnacentral:rRNA from 1 species